UACAGAGACUGCAAGCGUUAUUCGGAUUCACUGGGCGUAAAGGGUGCGUAGGUGGCGGGGCAAGUUUGGUGUGAAAUCCCGGGGCUCAACCUCGGAACUGCACUGAAUACUGCCUUGCUAGAGCACUGGAGAGGGAACUGGAAUUUACGGUGUAGCAGUGAAAUGCGUAGAUAUCGUAAGGAAGACCAGUGGCGAAGGCGAGUUCCUGGACAGUUGCUGACACUGAGGCACGAAGGCUAGGGGAGCAAACGGG
rnacentral:rRNA from 1 species